UACGGAGGGGGCUAGCGUUGUUCGGAAUUACUGGGCGUAAAGCGCACGUAGGCGGCUUUGCAAGUUAGAGGUGAAAGCCCGGAGCUCAACUCCGGAAUUGCCUUUAAAACUGCAUCGCUAGAAUUGUGGAGAGGUGAGUGGAAUUCCGAGUGUAGAGGUGAAAUUCGUAGAUAUUCGGAAGAACACCAGUGGCGAAGGCGACUCACUGGACAUGUAUUGACGCUGAGGUGCGAAAGCGUGGGGAGCAAACAGG
rnacentral:rRNA from 1 species